rnacentral:lncRNA from 1 species
AUGAGCAGCUAUCAGGCUCCAGUGAGCAGAGGAAGAGGACAUCAGCCCAGGAAAUGUCUCUCAUUUUCAGCUCCUGCAGACCUGAGACCAGCCUCUCAGACAAAGAAGCAGAGCUUCAGUUCCGAUACACCAAAUACCAACUCUCUCCCAGUCACUGCUGCUGUGAGCCAAGCUAAGCACCCUCCACCAGUGACGACCACAAAUCGGUCAACAACACUUUUUAAUGCCGUCGCCUCCAGAUCUGCCCACGUUACAUUCAGACCUAACAUUAUUACUAACCAUCACUUUAAUGCAGACACAUCUAAAACUACAACGUCUGCUCUUUCUAGCUCUUCUUGCUCUCCACUUGCCACUCUGGCACCUUGCAAAGCCAUAUCCACCUCAAGCAGUGCCACUAAUAUAACAACACCCCCAAAACUGGCAAAGAAAAUGUCUGCUAUCCCUGACAAAUCGGAUGCUAAACAUUCAGCUUCUACUCCUCUAACUCUGAGGACCUCUACCUUUGACUCUGAUGUCUUAAUACGUUCUGACACUAAUCCUAAAACCACUGCCUCAGACACAACUGUCCCGAGCAUAUCAACUGCCCUCGAGGCUUAUCGUUCUAACAUGCCUUGUAAAACGGAUGGUGCUACUCCUGCAUAUCAUGGACUUAUAUUUGCUGCAUCCUGCUCACCACCUGCUCAUCGCCUUCCUGAGAGAAGCAACAAGUCUGCCAGAAAGUCCACCGCUGCUCUAGAGAAGCAAGCAAGACCCAAACCAGAAGCUCCAGCCGAGGUUCGCUCUGUUGAGGUCAUCAAAACAGUCGGACAGAGCAGCCUCAUGAUUGGCUGGGAGAGGCCGCCACUUGACGAGCUGGGCUGCAGCAACGGCACAUUUGUGUACGGGUACAGGGUGUUUAUAGAUGGGGACUUUCACAAAUCUGUCAUGAGCUCAGCAUGCACCAAGAGUAUUCUGGAGAAUGUCGACCUGAGUGUCCCAGUCCACAUCAGUGUCCAAACGCUGGGCUCUAAUGCGCUCAGUUCACAAUUUGUCCACACAAUGUACAGGACAGUCAGAACAGACCAACACUGA